rnacentral:rRNA from 1 species
GACGAACGCUGGCGGCGUGCUUAACACAUGCAAGUCGAACGGAAAGGCCCUUCGGGGUACUCGAGUGGCGAACGGGUGAGUAACACGUGGGUGAUCUGCCCUGCACUUUGGGAUAAGCCUGGGAAACUGGGUCUAAUACCGGAUAGGACCACGGCAUUCAUGUGCUGUGGUGGAAAGCUUUUGCGGUGUGGGAUGGGCCCGCGGCCUAUCAGCUUGUUGGUGGGGUAAUGGCCUACCAAGGCGACGACGGGUAGCCGGCCUGAGAGGGUGAGCGGCCACACUGGGAGUGAGAUGCUGCCCAGACUCCUACGGGAGGCAGCAGUGGGGAAUAUUGCACAAUGGGCGCAAGCCUGAUGCAGCGACGCCGCGUGAGGGAUGACGGCCUUCGGGUUGUAAACCUCUUUCGCCAGGGACGAAGCGCAAGUGACGGUACCUGGAGAAGAAGGACCGGCCAACUACGUGCCAGCCGCCGCCGUAAAAC